UCCGAGUUGACCCCGGCAGUCUUCGAUGAGUCCCCGGCAUAACCCGCUGGCAACAUCGAACGAGGGUUGCGCUCGUUGCGGGACUUAACCCAACAUCUCACGACACGAGCUGACGACAGCCAUGCACCACCUGCACACAGGCCACAAGGGAACCAAUAUCUCUACUGGCGUCCUGUGCAUGUCAAACCCAGGUAAGGUUCUUCGCGUUGCAUCGAAUUAAUCCACAUGCUCCGCCGCUUGUGCGGGCCCCCGUCAAUUUCUUUGAGUUUUAGCCUUGCGGCCGUACUCCCCAGGCGGGGUACUUAAUGCGUUAGCUACGGCACGGAUCCCAAGGAAGGAAACCCACACCUAGUACCCACCGUUUACGGCGUGGACUAC
rnacentral:misc_RNA from 1 species